rnacentral:rRNA from 1 species
CCUACGGGCGGCUGCAGUGGGGAAUAUUGCACAAUGGGCGCAAGCCUGAUGCAGCCAUGCCGCGUGUGUGAAGAAGGCCUUCGGGUUGUAAAGCACUUUCAGCGGGGAGGAAGGCGGUGAGGUUAAUAACCUCAUCGAUUGACGUUACCCGCAGAAGAAGCACCGGCUAACUCCGUGCCAGCAGCCGCGGUAAUACGGAGGGUGCAAGCGUUAAUCGGAAUUACUGGGCGUAAAGCGCACGCAGGCGGUCUGUCAAGUCGGAUGUGAAAUCCCCGGGCUCAACCUGGGAACUGCAUUCGAAACUGGCAGGCUAGAGUCUUGUAGAGGGGGGUAGAAUUCCAGGUGUAGCGGUGAAAUGCGUAGAGAUCUGGAGGAAUACCGGUGGCGAAGGCGGCCCCCUGGACAAAGACUGACGCUCAGGUGCGAAAGCGUGGGGAGCAAACGGGAUUAGAUACCCGUGUAGUC